rnacentral:rRNA from 1 species
UACCCGCGGCCCGAGUUGUGACCAUUAUUAUUGAGUCUAAAGCGUUCGUAGCUGGUUUGGAUAGUUUGUGCUUAAAUCUUUUCGUUUAACGAAAAGGCAUGGUAUAAAUACUUCCAGACUAGAGGCCGGGAGGGGAGAUGGGAACUUUUCGGGUAGGAGUAAAAUCCUUUAAUCCGAAAAAGACCACCAAUAGCGAAGGCACAUCUCCAGAACGGACCUGACGGUGAGGGACGAAGGCUAGGAGAACAAACCGGAUCAGAUACCCGGGUAGCCCUAGCAGUAAACGCUGCUUACUAUACGUUGCAUUUUCUUGAGAAAAUGCGGUGUGACAGCGAAGGCGUUAAGUAAGCCACUUGGGGAGUAUAAUCGCAAGGUCGAAACUUAAAGGAAUUGGCGGGGGAGCACAAAAACGGGUGAAGUUUGCGGUUUAAUUGGAUUCAACUCCGGGAAUCUUACCAGAAGCGACAGCAAUAUGAAGGCCAGUCUGAAGAACUUGCCAAAUGCGCUGAAAGGUGUUGCAUGGCCAUCAUCAGUUAGUAUCUUGAGACGUCCCGUUAAGUCGGGUAACUAACAAGACCCUCUUCUAUAUUUGCUAACAUGCAAUCCGUUGUGAAUGAGCAAAAUAUAGAGACAGCUUUCGAAAGAAAGAGGAAGGUGAGGGCGACGGUAGGUCAGUACGACCCUAAUCCUCUGGGCUACACGCGAAUUGCAAUGGUAAAGGCAAUAGGAUGCCACUCCGAAAGGAGGAGCUAAUCCCCGAAUCUUUACCCUAGUUCGGAUCGAGGUCUGUAACUCGGCCUCGUGAAGGCGGAAUCCGUAGUAACCGCGUUUCAACAAAGCGCGGUGAAUACUUUCCUGCUCCU